GUCCGUUUGGGACAUACAAUAAAAUUGGAAUAAUACAGAGAAGAUCAUUAUGGCCCCUAGGCAAGGAUGAUCACAAAUCGAGAAAUAGUCCAUGCUUAU